AAAAGAGGAAGUUCGACUAAAAGCCCGUCACGUCAUAUGAUAACGUCGAACGAAUCCACAUCGUGUGCA
rnacentral:sRNA from 1 species